UUGGGAAUCUUGCACAAUGGGGGAAACCCUGAUGCAGCGACGCCGCGUGGAGGACGAAGGGUCUAGGCCUGUAAACUCCUUUUACCGGGAAAGACUUAGGACGGUACCCGGGGAAUAAGGACCGGCUAACUACGUGCCAGCAGCCGCGGUAAGACGUAGGGUCCAAGCGUUGUCCGGAUUUACUGGGCGUAAAGAGCGCGUAGGCGGUCCGCUAAGUGGGAAGUGAAAGCUCCGGGCUCAACUCGGAAACGGCUUUUCAUACUGGCGGACUCGAGGGUGGCAGAGGCUUGUGGAAUUCCUGGUGUAGCGGUGAAAUGCGUAGAUAUCAGGAGGAACACCCAUGGCGAAGGCAGCAAGCUGGGCCACAUCUGACGCUGAGGCGCGAAAGCGUGGGUAGCAAACAG
rnacentral:rRNA from 1 species